AUGGCCGCAGCUAAAUGAGCCUCA
rnacentral:siRNA from 1 species